AUUGAACGCUGGCGGCAGGCCUAGCACAUGCAAGUCGAACGGUAACAGGAAGAAGCUUGCUUCUUUGCUGACGAGUGGCGGACGGGUGAGUAAUGUCUGGGAAACUGCCUGAUGGAGGGGGAUAACUACUGGAAACGGUAGCUAAUACCGCAUAACGUCGCAAGACCAAAGAGGGGGACCUUCGGGCCUCUUGCCAUCGGAUGUGCCCAGAUGGGAUUAGCUAGUAGGUGGGGUAACGGCUCACCUAGGCGACGAUCCCUAGCUGGUCUGAGAGGAUGACCAGCCACACUGGAACUGAGACACGGUCCAGACUCCUACGGGAGGCAGCAGUGGGGAAUAUUGCACAAAGGGCGCAAGCCUGAUGCAGCCAUGCCGCGUGUAUGAAGAAGGCCUUCGGGUUGUAAAGUACUUUCAGCGGGGAGGAAGGGAGUAAAGUUAAUACCUUUGCUCAUUGACGUUACCCGCAGAAGAAGCACCGGCUAACUCCGUG
rnacentral:rRNA from 1 species